rnacentral:rRNA from 1 species
UACGUAGGGGGCAAGCGUUGUCCGGAAUCACUGGGCGUAAAGGGUGCGUAGGCGGGUCUUUAAGUCAGGGGUGAAAUCCUGGAGCUCAACUCCAGAACUGCCUUUGAUACUGAGGAUCUUGAGUUCGGGAGAGGUGAGUGGAACUGCGAGUGUAGAGGUGAAAUUCGUAGAUAUUCGCAAGAACACCAGUGGCGAAGGCGGCUCACUGGUCCGGAUCUGACGCUGAGGCGCGAAAGCGUGGGGAGCAAACAGG